rnacentral:tRNA from 1 species
GGGGGCAUAGCUCAGCUGGGAGAGCGCCAGCUUUGCAAGCUGGAUGUCAGGGGUUCGAAUCCCCUUGCCUCCACCA